rnacentral:rRNA from 1 species
GAUGAACGCUGGCGGCGUGCCUAAUACAUGCAAGUCGAGCGAACAGAUAAGGAGCUUGCGCCUUUGACGUUAGCGGCGGACGGGUGAGUAACACGUGGAUAACCUACCUAUAAGACUGGGAUAACUUCGGGAAACCGGAGCUAAUACCGGAUAACAUAUUGAACCGCAUGGUUCAAUAGUGAAAGGCGGCUUUGCUGUCACUUAUAGAUGGAUCCGCGCCUUAUUAGCUAGUUGGUAAGGUAACGGCUUACCAAGGCAACGAUACGUAGCCGACCUGAGAGGGUGUUCGGCCACACAGGAACUGAGACGCGAUACAGAGUCCUACGGGAGGCAGCAGUACGGAAGCUUCCGCAAUGGGCGAAAGCCUGACGGAGCAACGCCGCGUUAGUGAUGAAGGUCUGCGGAUCGUAAAACUCUGUUAUCAGUGAAGAACAAAUGUGUAAGUAACGGAGCACAUCUGAACGUUACCGGAUCAGAAGGCCACGGCUACCUACGU